rnacentral:rRNA from 1 species
AUUGAACGCUGGCGGCAGGCCUAACACAUGCAAGUCGAGCGGUAGAGAGAAGCUUGCUUCUCUUGAGAGCGGCGGACGGGUGAGUAAUGCCUAGGAAUCUGCCUGGUAGUGGGGGAUAACGUUCGGAGACGGACGCUAAUACCGCAUACGUCCUACGGGAGAAAGCAGGGGACCUUCGGGCCUUGCGCUAUCAGAUGAGCCUAGGUCGGAUUAGCUAGUUGGUGGGGUAAUGGCUCACCAAGGCGACGAUCCGUAACUGGUCUGAGAGGAUGAUCGGUCACACUGGAACUGAGACACGGUCCAGACUCCUACGGGAGGCAGCAGUGGGGAAUAUUGGACAAUGGGCGAAAGCCUGAUCCAGCCAUGCCGCGUGUGUGAAGAAGGUCUUCGGAUUGUAAAGCACUUUAAGUUGGGAGGAAGGGCAGUAAAUUAAUACUUUGCUGUUUUGACGUUACCGACAGAAUAAGCACCGGCUAACUCUGUG